rnacentral:misc_RNA from 1 species
AACGCACCUUGCGCUCCUUGGUAUUCCGAGGAGCAUGCCUGUUUGAGUGUCGUGAAGUUCUCAACUCUGGGGAUUUUUUUUCUCUUGGAAGUUGGAUUUGGGAUUUGCGUGUUUGAAAUGCCCGCUGUCCUCAAUUGCAUUAGCCGCAUUGCACUUUGGCUCACUGGUGUGAUAACAAACUUGACAUUGAGGAGUGUUGAGUGCAGUGGCUUCCAAUAAUUCUAUUAUGACCUCUUUGACCUCAAAUCAGGUAGGACUACCCGCUGAACUUAA